rnacentral:rRNA from 1 species
UACGUAGGGGGCGAGCGUUGUCCGGAUUUAUUGGGCGUAAAGAGCUCGUAGGCGGCUUAGCAAGUCGGGUGUGAAAACUCCAGGCUCAACCUGGAGACGCCACUCGAGACUGCUAUGGCUAGAGUCCGGUAGGGGACCACGGAAUUCCUGGUGUAGCGGUGAAGUGCGCAGAUAUCAGGAGGAACACCGGUGGCGAAGGCGGUGGUCUGGGCCGGCACUGACGCUGAGGAGCGAAAGCGUGGGGAGCAAACAGG